GACGAACCGUGCGAACGUUGUUCGGAAUCACUGGGCUUAAAGGGCGCGUAGGCGGGUCGGCAAGUCAGGGGUGAAAUCGUUCGGCUUAACCGGACAACUGCCUUUGAUACUGCCGGUCUUGAGGGAGGUAGGGGUCUGCGGAACUUCCGGUGGAGCGGUGAAAUGCGUUGAUAUCGGAAGGAACGCCGGUGGCGAAAGCGGCGGACUGGACCUCUUCUGACGCUGAGGCGCGAAAGCCAGGGGAGCAAACGGG
rnacentral:rRNA from 1 species